UGGCGAACGGGUGAGUAACACGUGAGUAACCUGCCCUCUUCUUUGGGAUAACGCCCGGAAACGGGUGCUAAUACUGGAUAUUCACUGAUUCUCGCAUGGGGGUUGGUGGAAAGGUUUUUCCUGGUGGGGGAUGGGCUCGCGGCCUAUCAGCUUGUUGGUGGGGUGAUGGCCUACCAAGGCUUUGACGGGUAGCCGGCCUGAGAGGGUGACCGGUCACAUUGGGACUGAGAUACGGCCCAGACUCCUACGGGAGGCAGCAGUGGGGAAUAUUGCACAAUGGGCGAAAGCCUGAUGCAGCGACGCCGCGUGAGGGAUGGAGGCCUUCGGGUUGUAAACCUCUUUCGCUCAUGGUCAAGCCGCAACGCUGGUUGUGGUGAGGGUAGUGGGUAAAGAAGCGCCGGCUAACUACGUGCCAGCAGCCGCGGUAAUACGUAGGGCGCGAGCGUUGUCCGGAAUUAUUGGGCGUAAAGGGCUUGUAGGCGGUUGGUUGCGUCUGCCGUGAAAUCCUCUGGCUUAACUGGGGGCGUGCGGUGGGUACGGGCUGACUUGAGUGCGGUAGGGGAGACUGGAACUCCUGGUGUAGC
rnacentral:rRNA from 1 species